GCCACCACACCCGGCUAAUUUUUGUAUUUUUAGUAGAGACGAGGUUUCACCAUGUUGGCCAGGCUGGUCUCAAACUCCUGAUCUCAGGUGAUCCACCCACCUUGGCCUCCCCAAGUGCUGGGAUUACAGGCAUGAUCCACUGUGCCCAGUCCCUGGAGUUUUGCUUUUGUCACCCAGGCUGGAAUGCAGUGGCGUGAUCUCGGCUCACUGCAACCUCCUCAUCCUGGGUUCAAGUGAUUCUCCUGCCUCAGCCUCCCAAGUAGCUGGGAUUAAAAGUGUCCGCCACCAUGCCUAACUAAUUUUUGUAUUUUUAGUAGAGACAGUGUUUCACCAUGUUGGCCAGGCUGGCCUCAAACUCCUGGCCUCAAGUGAUCCUCCUGCCUCACCCUCCUUAAGUGCUAGGAUUACAGGCAUGAGUCACCAUGCCCGGCCUAGUAAAGUGAAAUAAUUUAUUGGCAAUUAUUUUUCCAGCAGAACUAUUUUAUACUAUGAUUUGAAAUAAAUUAGACUUCAAAGUUAGCCAAAAACACAAUCAAAGGAAGUCUUAAUUCUUUAAACUCUUGGUAUGAAAACAUUUUACAAUGGAUUUUCUUCACUAAUGUCAAAACUGAAAUUAUUUCAAACUGUAGGAAUCACAUAUAUGCUACCUAAAUUAUUAUUAAAAUUAGUAGAGGCAGUAGGCUUUACAGAAAUAACUGUACUAUCUCUAAUAUGUGCACAAUUUUGUUUUUAUUGGUUUUUUUUGUUUUUGUUUUUUGUUUUGGUGGCAGGGGAUACUGUCUCCCUCUGUCUCCCAGGCUGGAGUGCAAUGGUGGGAUCUUGGCUCACUGCAGCUUUGAACUCCUGGGCUCAAUCCUCUCACUUCAACCUCCUGAGUAGCUGGGACUACAGGGCUUCUUCGCUGGAAUGAGGAAGAGGAGGAAGCCAAGGAAGACAGAGACUGUGGCAUCAGUGGAAUCACUGACUGCACAACUUGGGGACAGUACGUUUAUCAUGUGGACUCCAUUGGCUGACAGCGACAUGACUUUGCCAAUUCUGUACCUACAUGGGUCCUCUCCCUGGACGGGUCCUAUGGCUCUGGUGUCAGCCCAACCCUUUGGUGAAAAAAACAGCUGAAGUGGACAUCCCGCAGUGAUCUGAGACCACUGUCCUGGUGGCACACUGGGAGCUAGAAGGAUGCCCUAUGUCCUGGCAUCCCAAAUAAGACUUACA